rnacentral:rRNA from 1 species
GACGAACGCUGGCGGCGUGCCUAAUACAUGCAAGUCGAACGCUUUUUCUUUCACCGGAGCUUGCUCCACCGAAAGAAAAAGAGUGGCGAACGGGUGAGUAACACGUGGGUAACCUGCCCAUCAGAAGGGGAUAACACUUGGAAACAGGUGCUAAUACCGUAUAACACUAUUUUCCGCAUGGAAGAAAGUUGAAAGGCGCUUUUGCGUCACUGAUGGAUGGACCCGCGGGGCAUUAGCUAGUUGGUGAGGUAACGGGGCACCAAGGCAACGAUGCAUCGCCGCCCUGGGAGGGUGAUGGGCCACACUUGGACGGAGACCCGGCCCAGACUCCUACGGGAGGUAGCAGUAGGGAAUCUUCGGCAAUGGACGAAAGUCUGACCGAGCAACGCCGCGUGAGUGAAGAAGGUUUUCGGAUCGUAAAACUCUGUUGUUAGAGAAGAACAAGGAUGAGAGUAAAACGUUCAUCCCUUGACGGUAUCUAACCAGAAAGCCACGGCUAACUACGUGCCAGCAGCCGCCGUAA